rnacentral:rRNA from 1 species
CCUACGGGUGGCAGCAGUGGGGAAUAUUGCACAAUGGGGGAAACCCUGAUGCAGCGACGCCGCGUGAGUGAAGAAGUAUUUCGGUAUGUAAAGCUCUAUCAGCAGGAACGAGACAAGACGGUACCUGACUAAGAAGCCCCGGCUAACUACGUGCCAGCAGCCGCGGUAAUACGUAGGGGGCAAGCGUUAUCCGGAAUCACUGGGUGUAAAGGGAGCGUAGACGGCUGUGCAAGCCUGAAGUGAAAGGCGGGGGCCCAACCCCUGGACUGCUUUGGGAACUGUACGGCUGGAGUGGAUGAGAGGUAAGUGGAAUUCCUAGUGUAGCGGUGAAAUGCGUAGAUAUUAGGAGGAACACUCGUGGCGAAGGCGGGUUCCUGGACAUUAACUGACGCUGAGGCACGAAGGCCAGGGGAGCGAAAGGGAUUAGAUACCCUUGUAGUC